GCACUGCAGACAUACAGUGGCACUCUUGUGUUACACUCUUUCAAGAAAAAAGGGAUGGACCUUUGUUUUAGCAUGGAAUUUAAGAGUUAGACUGAUGCUGGACAAUCAUUGGCCUUUUAAAACCCAAACACACUUGAUGGGAAAAAUUAAAAAGAAUUAAGUGAGAAAUGACAUCUUGAUUGAUUGUCCUUUAUCAUUUCCUCUUCUGGAAUAACUGUUAGAGUGCCAUAGGUCCAUGGCUG